rnacentral:snoRNA from 1 species
GUGGGGAGGAGACCCGGGCUGACGUGUGAAGAGGGUGUCCUGCACCGA